UCAAGCGAAUAAGCGCACACGGUGGAUGCCUUGGCGGUCAGAGGCGAUGAAGGACGUGGCAGCCUGCGAAAAGUAUCGGGGAGCUGGCAACAAGCUUUGAUCCGGUAAUGUCCGAAUGGGGAAACCCACCCGCUUGCGGGUAUCCUGCAGUGAAUACAUAGCUGCUGGAAGCGAACCUGGUGAACUGAAAUAUCUAAGUAACCAGAGGAAAAGAAAUCAACCGAGAUUCCGUAAGUAGCGACGAGCGAACGCGGACUAGCCCUUAAGCUGAUUUGGUUCUAGGAAAACGCUCUGGAAAGAGCGGCCAUAGAAGGUGAUAGCCCUGUAUCUGAAAGGGCCAUUUCAGUGAAGACGAGUAGGGCGGGGCACGUGAAACCCUGUCUGAACAUGGGGGGACCAUCCUCCAAGGCUAAAUACUACUGACCGACCGAUAGUGAACCAGUACCGUGAGGGAAAGGCGAAAAGAACCCCGGAGAGGGGAGUGAAAUAGAACCUGAAACCGUGUGCGUACAAGCAGUAGGAGCUCCGCAAGGAGUGACUGCGUACCUUUUGUAUAAUGGGUCAGCGACUUACUGUUCGUGGCAAGCUUAACCGUAUAGGGGAGGCGAAGGGAAACCGAGUCUGAUAAGGGCGCAUAGUCGCGGGCAGUAGACCCGAAACCGGGUGAUCUAGUCAUGCCCAGGGUGAAGGUGCGGUAACACGCACUGGAGGCCCGAACCCACUCCCGUUGCAAAGGUAGGGGAUGAGGUGUGAUUAGGAGUGAAAAGCUAAUCGAACCCGGAGAUAGCUGGUUCUCCUCGAAAGCUAUUUAGGUAGCGCCUCAUAUGUAUCCUCUCGGGGGUAGAGCACUGUUAUGGCUAGGGGGUCAUCGCGACUUACCAAACCAUUGCAAACUCCGAAUACCGAGACGGACUGUAUGGGAGACACACGGCGGGUGCUAACGUCCGUCGUGAAAAGGGAAACAACCCAGACCCACAGCUAAGGUCCCAAAUUUUGUGCUAAGUGGAAAACCAUGUGGAAAGGCACAGACAGCCAGGAGGUUGGCUUAGAAGCAGCCACCCUUUAAAGAAAGCGUAAUAGCUCACUGGUCGAGUCGGUCUGCGGGGAAGAUUUAACGGGGCUAAGCACAGAACCGAAGCUUGGGGUGCAUAACUUUGUUAUGCGCGGUAGAGGAGCGUUCCGUAAGCCGUUGAAGGUGGAUUGAGAAGUCUGCUGGAGGUAUCGGAAGUGCGAAUGCUGACAUGAGUAACGAUAAUGCGGGUGAAAAACCCGCACGCCGAAAGCCCAAGGUUUCCUUGCGCAACGUUAAUCGGCGCAGGGUGAGUCGGCCCCUAAGGCGAGGACGAAAGUCGUAGUCGAUGGGAAGCAGGUUAAUAUUCCUGCACCUCGCGUAAGUGCGAUGGAGGGACGGAGAAGGUUAGGUGUACCAGGCGUUGGUUGUCCUGGGGAAAGGCGGUAGGUUUGGAUCUUUGGCAAAUCCGGGAUCCUCUAAGACCGAGCACCGAGACGAGCCUUUAUGGCAAAGUCACUGAUACCACGCUUCCAGGAAAAGCUCCUAAGCUUCAGCUUACGCAGACCGUACCGUAAACCGACACAGGUGGGUAGGAUGAGAAUUCUCAGGCGCUUGAGAGAACUCGGGUGAAGGAACUAGGCAACAUGGCACCGUAACUUCGGGAGAAGGUGCACCCUUUUUGGUGGCUCGUGCGAGCUAUAGCUGAAGAGGGUCGCAGUAACCAGGCCGCUGCGACUGUUUAUCAAAAACACAGCACUCUGCAAACACGAAAGUGGACGUAUAGGGUGUGACGCCUGCCCGGUGCUGGAAGGUUAAUUGAUGGGGUCAGCCGCAAGGCGAAGCUCUUGAUCGAAGCCCCAGUAAACGGCGGCCGUAACUAUAACGGUCCUAAGGUAGCGAAAUUCCUUGUCGGGUAAGUUCCGACCUGCACGAAUGGCGUAACGACAGCGGCGCUGUCUCCACCCGAGACUCAGUGAAAUUGAAAUCGCUGUGAAGAUGCAGCGUUCCCGUGGCAAGACGGAAAGACCCCGUGAACCUUUACUAUAGCUUUACACUGAACGUUGAGUUCGUCUGUGUAGGAUAGGUGGGAGGCUAUGAAACCAUGGCGCUAGCUGUGGUGGAGCCAUCCUUGAAAUACCACCCUGUCGUGCUUGACGUUCUAACCUGGGCCCAUUAUCUGGGUCGGGGACCGUGUAUGGUGGGUAGUUUGACUGGGGCGGUCUCCUCCUAAAGAGUAACGGAGGAGCUCGAAGGUACGCUCAGCGCGGUCGGACAUCGCGCACUGUGUGCAAAGGCAUAAGCGUGCUUGACUGCAAGAUCGACGGAUCAAGCAGGUAGGAAACUAGGACUUAGUGAUCCGGUGGUUCUGUAUGGAAGGGCCAUCGCUCAACGGAUAAAAGGUACUCCGGGGAUAACAGGCUGAUACCGCCCAAGAGUUCAUAUCGACGGCGGUGUUUGGCACCUCGAUGUCGGCUCAUCACAUCCUGGGGCUGUAGUCGGUCCCAAGGGUAUGGCUGUUCGCCAUUUAAAGUGGUACGCGAGCUGGGUUCAGAACGUCGUGAGACAGUUCGGUCCCUAUCUGCCAUGGGCGUUGGAGAUUUGAGAGGGGCUGCUCCUAGUACGAGAGGACCGGAGUGGACGAACCUCUGGUGUUCCGGUUGUCACGCCAGUGGCAUUGCCGGGUAGCUAUGUUCGGAAGCGAUAACCGCUGAAAGCAUCUAAGCGGGAAGCGCGCCUCAAGAUGAGAUCUCCCGGGGCACAAGCCCCCUGAAGGAACCAUGUAGACUACGUGGUUGAUAGGUCAGGUGUGUAAGUACAGCAAUGUAUUGAGCUAACUGAUACUAAUGAUCCGUGCGGCUUGACCAU
rnacentral:rRNA from 1 species